GAACAAUUGAUGGAUCACAUGAACAGGUUGAGAAAGGAGCACGGCAGCAACAUGUAAAAGCCUUUCGAAGUUGUGAAUGAGAGAAGAGCAAGCACCUAUGUCGGCGAGGAGAUCCUCGUCGCGGCCGUGGCAGGGCGUCUGUGCAGCUGCACCUGUCUUGGGAACAGCACAUCGUCGUGGCCGUCGUCGAGUGACUCGGUGACCUCGUCGUCGCGGCCGUAGUCGGAUGCCUCGGCGGCUGCGCAGGGCAGCGACGUCGCGGCCGUCGUCGGUGCGGCCGUCGUCGGAUGCCUCGGCGGCUGCGCAGGGCAGCGACGUCGCGGCCGUUGUCGGGUGCCUCAGCGGCUGCGCAGGGGCAUGUAAUCUGGACGUCGAGCCUGGAUUGAUUCCCGCAAAUUGAGCUUAGUUGUUUCCAUGUUGUUUUCCGUGUAUGACUCUCCGUGUAUUUUGGGCGUGGGUUGUUUACUGAUUAUUUUUUUGAGAAAAGGACGUGGGUUUACCUGUACACUCGUGCGGGCGUGGGUUGUUUUACGGGCAGAGUUUUCGUCCGCUGGCCUGAACUUCUCUCGUUUAAUAGUA
rnacentral:rRNA from 1 species